rnacentral:misc_RNA from 1 species
AAAGUCGUAACAAGGUUUCCGUAGGUGAACCUGCGGAAGGAUCAUUAUUGAAUAAACCUGAUGUGGUUGUUGCUGGCUCUCUCGAGAGUAAUGUGCACGCCCGUCAUCUUUAUAUCUCCACCUGUGCACCUUUUGUAGACCUGGGGAUUGAGUAACAUCAAUCGUUAGGCCUAUGUUUUAUCAUAUACCCCAUAGUAUGUAUCAGAAUGUAUCAAUGGGCUUCGUGCCUAUAAACUAUAUACAACUUUCAGCAACGGAUCUCUUGGCUCUC